CAUCGGGAAUGGCGUGAUACUUGUCGAACCCCGCUAGGACCGAAAGGUAGCAACGGUAGGUGAGUUCCUCCGGGUGUUCCCGGUGCAU
rnacentral:SRP_RNA from 1 species